rnacentral:lncRNA from 13 species
CGUUGGUUGCGAGAUACAGAAGAAGAAGAAGAACAUAUAGAAGAAGAGAUAAUAUUUCCACAGCUUCACGAUCUAUUUUCGAGAUUGGCGAAAGCAUCAUAUUUGAAACCCAGAUUAUAUAUUCAUGAAAACAGAGUGACCCAAGUCUCUCCAGUAUGUGAGUACAGUGUGUGUGUGUGUGAGAGAGAAAUAAAGAAAUUGAGCUGCAGUUCUGAGGUAGAGACUGUGACUAUUCAUAGUAUUUUGAAGAAUUACAGUGAAGUAACCCUUUUGGACCAUACUAUCACACUAUCACCACAUUUAAGAACUCCAGGUUAAGUGAAUUAUCACUUCUACCUCUAAUCAGUAAUCAUAGGAUUCAUUCAUGCUCCUUAGAUGCUAGGUUAGGGUUACACACAAAUUUUCUGUCAUGGUCUAUGGACACCCUGAAGUAGCCUUGGCCAACCCACGUGUAAAACUCGAGUUCCUGACUGCAGGAAUGUCCACCAGAACUGUUGCCAGAGAAUGUAACGUUCAUUUCUCUACCGUAAGCCGCCUCCAACGUGGUUUUAGAUAAUUUGGCAGUAGGUCCAACCAGCUUCACAACUGGCAGACCACGUGUAUGGUGUCAUGUGGGCGAGCGAUUUGCUGAUGUCAAUGUUGUGAACAGAGUGCUGCAUGAAACUACGGACAACGAACACAAUUGCAUUUUAUCGAUGGAAAUUUGAAUGCACAACAAUACAGUGAUGAGAUCCUGAGGCCCAUUGUGAGGCCCAUUUUUUUUCAAGGUAUCUGUGACCAACAGAUGCAUAUCUAUAUUCCCAGUCGUGAAAUCCAUAGAUUAGGAUCUAAUGGAUUGAAUUCAAUUUACUGAUUUCCUCAUAUUAACUGUAACUCAGUAAAACCAAUGAAAAUGUUGCAUUUAUAUUUUUGUUCAGUAUAGUCAUGACAGUGAUAGACGAGACUCCAUUUCACACCAUGGAUGAAAGCCCAUUUAAUAUAUUCCCAGUAUGGGACCUCUUAUGUGUGCACGCGCCCCCAAAAAUGUAGCCUAAUCAUAGAAUUACAUACAAUCCCUUUUAAUUCAAUAGGAUCUCUGUAAGUGUAGUAGUAAAGAUUUGUCAUUUAACUUUUAAAAUGUAUUACCUCAUAUUC